ACUCUUUACAGAAGUUUAAUGUUUGCUCUGAGAAGUUGAAUGAACAAAAUUUAUUAAAUGUGCAAUCUGUAUCUUAAACAUUAAAGAGAAUUGUUUUGUGUCAGUGCCAGAAAUUGAAUACACACCUGCAAAUUUCGUAAUUCAUAAAAAUAUUAUGAAUCCAUUAGCAAAUAAAGUUGUAUCCUUGAAAGAUAUGCUGGUAUUAUUGGCACAAUGGGCAGGCAUUAAAGUGCAACUUGGUGAACUACAAAAUACAUCAAAUUCAGUUAUAAAAAUUUAAGUAAAAAAGGUAUGCUAAUUAUUGUAUUGCCUGAAAGAGUGACAUUGCCAUUAAAAGCAGUGAAGAAUUCAAAUACUCUGGAAGAAAAAAGACAAGAAAACACUUAAAUAGUUGGUUAAUUAUUUGGCACAAAUUGGAGUUAAAGACGAAGGAGAUUGUAUAUGUUAUUUACUAAGAAUAGUUUUGGCCUAGCAGUAAAAUUAAACUAUGCAGGAAGAGGACAAAAAAUUGGAAUAGGAAAAAUGUUGAUUGCAUAUGUUGCUAUUGAAACUGUGAAGUCAAAUAAGUAUGGCUUAUGCAGACAUGUGAUAGAGAUAGCGGAAG